GACGAACGCUGGCGGCGUGCUUAAUACAUGCAAGUCGAACGGAAAGGCCCUGCUUUUGUUGGUUUCUCGAUUGGCGAACGGGUGAGUAACACGUGAGUAACCUGCCCCUGACUUUGUGAUAACUUCAGGAAAAUGGGGCUAAUACCGGAUAGGAUCUUCUGCUGCAUAGUGGUGGUUGGAAAGUUUCGGCGGUUCGGGAUAGACUCGCGGCUUAUCAGCUUGUUUGUGGGGUAGUUGCGUACCAAGGCUUUGACGGGUAGCCGGCCUGAGAGGGUGAACGGCCACAUUGCGACUGAGAUACGGACCAGAAUGCUACGUGAGGCAGCAGUGGGGAAUAUUGCACAAUGAGCCGAAGUCUGAUGCAGAGACGCCGCGUGCGGGAUGACGGCCUUCGGGUUGUAAACAGAUUUCGAAUGUGACGAAGAGUGAGUGACGGUAAUGGGUAAGGAAGCACCGGCUAACUACGUG
rnacentral:rRNA from 1 species